rnacentral:rRNA from 1 species
UGGGGAAUAUUGCACAAUGGAGGGAACUCUGAUGCAGCAACGCCGCGUGCGGGAUGACGGCCUUCGGGUUGUAAACCGCUUUCAGCCAUGACGAAGCUUUUGUGACGGUAGUGGUAGAAGAAGCACCGGCUAACUACGUGCCAGCAGCCGCGGUGAUACGUAGGGUGCGAGCGUUGUCCGGAAUUAUUGGGCGUAAAGAGCUUGUAGGCGGUUUGUCGCGUCGAUAGUGUGAACACGCAGCUUAACUGUGUGCCUGCUGUCGAUACGGGCUGACUAGAGGAGGGUAGGGGAGAAUGGAAUUCCCGGUGGAGCGGUGGAAUGCGCAGAUAUCGGGAGGAACACCAGUGGCGAAGGCGGUUCUCUGGACCUUUCCUGACGCUGAGAAGCGAAAGCGUGGGUAGCAAACAGG